GACGUAGGGCGCGAGCGUUGUCCGGAUUUAUUGGGCGUAAAGAGCUCGUAGGCGGUGUGUCGCGUCGGCCGUGAAAACCUGCAGCUUAACUGUGGGCGUGCGGUCGAUACGGGCAUCACUGGAGUUCGGCAGGGGAGACUGGAAUUCCUGGUGUAGCGGUGAAAUGCGCAGAUAUCAGGAGGAACACCGGUGGCGAAGGCGGGUCUCUGGGCCGAUACUGACGCUGAGGCGCGAAAGCGUGGGGAGCAAACAGG
rnacentral:rRNA from 1 species